rnacentral:rRNA from 1 species
CAGUCGCCGCGGUAAUACGUAGGUGGCAAGCGUUAUCCGGAAUUAUUGGGCGUAAAGCGCGCGUAGGCGGUUUUUUAAGUCUGAUGUGAAAGCCCACGGCUCAACCGUGGAGGGUCAUUGGAAACUGGAAAACUUGAGUGCAGAAGAGGAAAGUGGAAUUCCAUGUGUAGCGGUGAAAUGCGCAGAGAUAUGGAGGAACACCAGUGGCGAAGGCGACUUUCUGGUCUGUAACUGACGCUGAUGUGCGAAAGCGUGGGGAUCAAACAGGAUUAGAUACCCGCGUAGUCCCUGUCUCUUAUAC